GAUGAACGCUGGCGGCGUGCCUAAUACAUGCAAGUCGAGCGAACGGACGAGAAGCUUGCUUCUCUGAUGUUAGCGGCGGACGGGUGAGUAACACGUGGAUAACCUACCUAUAAGACUGGGAUAACUUCGGGAAACCGGAGCUAAUACCGGAUAAUAUUUUGAACCGCAUGGUUCAAAAGUAAAAGACGGUCUUGCUGUCACUUAUAGAUGGAUCCGCGCUGCAUUAGCUAGUUGGUAAGGUAACGGCUUACCAAGGCAACGAUGCAUAGCCGACCUGAGAGGGUGAUCGGCCACACUGGAACUGAGACACGGUCCAGACUCCUACGGGAGGCAGCAGUAGGGAAUCUUCCGCAAUGGGCGAAAGCCUGACGGAGCAACGCCGCGUGAGUGAUGAAGGUCUUCGGAUCGUAAAACUCUGUUAUUAGGGAAGAAUAUAUGUGUAAGUAACUGUGCACAUCUUGACGGUACCUAAUCAGAAAGCCACGGCUAACUACGUGCCAGCAGCCGCGGUAAUACGUAGGUGGCAAGCGUUAUCCGGAAUUAUUGGGCGUAAAGCGCGCGUAGGCGGUUUUUUAAGUCUGAUGUGAAAGCCCACGGCUCAACCGUGGAGGGUCAUUGGAAACUGGAAAACUUGAGUGCAGAAGAGGAAAGUGGAAUUCCAUGUGUAGCGGUGAAAUGCGCAGAGAUAUGGAAGAACACCAGUGGCGAAGGCGACUUUCUGGUCUGUAACUGACGCUGAUGUGCGAAAGCGUGGGGAUCAAACAGGAUUAGAUACCCUGGUAGUCCACGCCGUAAACGAUGAGUGCUAAGUGUUAGGGGGUUUCCGCCCCUUAGUGCUGCAGCUAACGCAUUAAGCACUCCGCCUGGGGAGUACGACCGCAAGGUUGAAACUCAAAGGAAUUGACGGGGACCCGCACAAGCGGUGGAGCAUGUGGUUUAAUUCGAAGCAACGCGAAGAACCUUACCAAAUCUUGACAUCCUUUGACAACUCUAGAGAUAGAGCCUUCCCCUUCGGGGGACAAAGUGACAGGUGGUGCAUGGUUGUCGUCAGCUCGUGUCGUGAGAUGUUGGGUUAAGUCCCGCAACGAGCGCAACCCUUAAGCUUAGUUGCCAUCAUUAAGUUGGGCACUCUAAGUUGACUGCCGGUGACAAACCGGAGGAAGGUGGGGAUGACGUCAAAUCAUCAUGCCCCUUAUGAUUUGGGCUACACACGUGCUACAAUGGACAAUACAAAGGGCAGCGAAACCGCGAGGUCAAGCAAAUCCCAUAAAGUUGUUCUCAGUUCGGAUUGUAGUCUGCAACUCGACUACAUGAAGCUGGAAUCGCUAGUAAUCGUAGAUCAGCAUGCUACGGUGAAUACGUUCCCGGGUCU
rnacentral:rRNA from 1 species